AGGAUUAACGCUGGCGGCGUGCCUAACACAUGCAAGUCGAACGAGGUAGCAAUACCUAGUGGCAGACGGGUGAGUAGCGCGUGGUCAACCUACCGUUGAGUGGGGGAUAACUAGCCGAAAGGUUAGCUAAUACCGCAUACGUCUCCGAGGGGCAUCCCUUGGUGAUAAAAGGAGCAAUCCGCUCGAUGACGGGACCGCGUCCCAUUAGCUAGUUGGUAGGGUAACGGCCUACCAAGGCAUCGAUGGGUAGCUGGUUUGAGAGAGCGACCAGCCACACUGGGACUGAGAUACGGCCCAGACUCCUACGGGAGGCAGCAGUGAGGAAUUUUCCGCAAUGGGCGAAAGCCUGACGGAGCGACGCCGCGUGUGGGAAGAAGGCCUUCGGGUCGUAACCACUGUCGAAGGGGAAGAUAAUGACGGUACCCUUGGAGGAAGCCCCGGCUAACUACGUGCCAGCAGCCGC
rnacentral:rRNA from 1 species